GCACGGCAAGGUGGCAUUCUCGCCCCGGCGACCGACCACCUCCGCGUACACAGGCGGCUCCAGGAGGUACUUCAGCUUGGAGGGUGAGGUGGUAGGAGACGGACCCUUGGUGGCUAUUAAGGGGGAAUUAAAAGAGACUUAUUCAGUAUUCCAAAUACAAUUCACCAUUCGUCUUAAUGGAGUUGUUGCAAGUUUCUCUUCGACAAACUGGUCGGACUCAUCUUGUGUUCCCUAGCAUCAUGUUGUAAGAUGGGACAGGCUGUGAAAAAUGAAGCAUUCUCUUUUUCACUGUUUCUAUUUGACUUGGGUUUUUUUGUAUUGGAGGAUUGGCGUGCCUAUGGGUCUCAUUUUUGGUCAAAUAUUUGCAACACAUUUGUAGCGUCCAUAUGACCGUGUACAUUGACGUCAGUCCCGAGAUACACGACACAGGUGUCAAACUCAAGGCCCGGGUUUUAUGAUUUGAUGUGGCCCGCGAAGGCAAAUCAUGUGUUCGAAAAUGUUCCAAAAUUUCUACUUAUCAUAAUAAUGUAACAAAUAAUAAUGUGACAAGAUUUGAAAGCAUUUUUUGUUACUAAACCCCCUUUUACAGUGUCCCUAACAAUAGUUGAACAAACUUUGACUUGACUUCUGAUUUGAAAAACGAGUUAUCCAUCAGUUUGUUGCGUAUACGCAAUGGUAUAAUGAGGCAAGCCCUCAGAGGUACACGCUAAAGUUCAAAUUCCUGGGCUUCCUUGACAGCUUAAGUUGGGUAAAAAAGUUCAACGUGAUGGCUUGAGGCAUCCACAGUAGCAGCGAAUAAGACAAAUUCCUGCAAAAAGCUCAUUCAUCUCCUGAAAAGUACCUGAGAGGAGAACUGUAGAGCAGGCCAGGCGGCCCACGAGAAGAAGCAGAGAGACACUCAUGCUGAUGGAAAAACCACGUGGAGCUCCUUCAAAUCACCUUAGUGCACAAUAAUGACAUUGUAGGAAAUACAAAUAUUGGAAUUAGAGCUGAACUACAAGAAGAGGCCUUACAUGGUGACGACGUCGGAAGGAGAAAUUUGUCUGGGAGCAAGGGACAGCUGGAUAUACGAAUACAAACAAUCCUACAUCAACAUCACAUCGUACACCUUGUCAUCCCUCGUGAACGUUCGGCUGUCAUCCAGCAUGUCAGUCCAGUGACUCGCCCUGUGUCUUGCUCGCUCACUCUCUCUCUCCUCACGCUGGUCAUGUGGUCAGGCGAGCGCCAUUGUUGUCCUCUGCUGCGCUCCAGAUGUUAAUGACGACCAGGGUGGGACCUACGUGGCUCUUCCGUUGUGUUUUACGUGCCAGUCUAACCACGAUCUGAAGCACCCAACUCAAGAUUUCCAGUAGAAGAACUUGAAACUUGCUUUGAUUGUUUUGUGAUUAUGUAUCAUUCAUAAAUUCAUUGGUAUUCUUCUGACAAA